UCCCUGAUCUCGAGUAUGGGUUUGAAGAACCGGCAAUCGAAAGUUAUGAGAUGGUGGACGACGAAGCAAUACCGGUUGAUGUAAUUAAUAAGAUAGUUAUAGGAAUGUUCCGUGGAUUGGAAGACCAUGAGGGAAUCGAGGUUGACAAAUAUGGCAGGGUAAGCUAAAUGUAAAUGCAGAUACAUAAUGGUGCAUCAGCGAAAGCAAGUAAGAUCAGUAAGGCUGAAACAGUGAAAGAGAAUGCUACAACUUUAAGCUUCAGUAAUUAACAGCAGCCAUAAUCUUCCAUUGGGAGGGUUCU